CCAAUAGCGUAUAUUAAAGUUGUUGCAGUUAAAAAGCUCGUAGUUGAAUUUCGGGAUCAGUACGCCGGUCGUGCCUUCGGUAUGCACUGGUGUCACUGGUUUCUCCCUUCUGAAGAACCAUCAUGCCAUUCAGUUGGUGUGGCGGGGAAUCAGGACUGUUACUUUGAAAAAAUUAGAGUGUUUAAAGCAGGCUCGCGCUUGAAUACAUUAGCAUGGAAUAAUGAAAUAGGACGUUUGACCCUAUUUUGUUGGUUUCUAGGAUCGACGUAAUGAUUAAUAGGGAUAGUUGGGGGCAUUAGU
rnacentral:rRNA from 1 species